rnacentral:miRNA from 1 species
UGUGGGAAUCUCUCUGAUGCUU